GGCGGUGUGGCGAAAUGGUAUCGUGUGGUCCUCCUAACAAGAAGGAUUAACCAGACUGAGGUUGUGGGUUCGAGUCCCAUCACCGUCG